AGCUUGUGUUGCUGUGACUAUAUGGGAUAAAAGGAAAGAUCUUUCAAUUCUGCUCGCGUAUGAAAAGUUAAUUUUGUCUAAAAGGUUGUUGAUCAGAGCUUUUUGAUCUCCUUUGACUUUCUGUAAUUACGCGCCGAGAACUGCGACCUAUGUUUGAAUUUGAACUAGGCGUUGUAGAUGAUUAAUGAAUGUGAUACUAUAACAUAAAACUAAAGGCUGGCGUAAUAAAUUUUCCUAGUUUGAGACAACAAAUAAUUUCAAAAUUUAAAUGGUAAAUGUCUGAUAAUAAACGAAAA